AUUAAUUAAUUGAUUUAAUUGAUUUAUAAAUUUAGUUUUUAACUAGUGAUUGUUUAUAUAAUAAUUGUGAUGUGUAGAGAUUUGGUUUAAAUUUAAGUGAAAGUUUGAUUUAGGUAUUGAAUUUAGUAAUGGUGAUUUUAGUGCCAGCAACAGCGGUUAAACUUGAUUUAUAAAUUAAUUUAUUUAAUUUUUGAAUUAAUAUAUUAUAUAGUUUUUUUAAUUAGAUUAAUUUUAUUAUGGUGAAAUAUUUUUUUAUUAACUGGUUAAAUUUUGUUUUAUUAAUGUUUUUAAGAUUUUAAAAUUAAAACUAGGAUUAGAUACCCUAUUAUAAAAAUGAUUUUAUUUGAAUUGAUUAAUAAAUGUAAAUCAUUAAAAUUAACAAAUAUGGCGGCUUUAUAAUUUAUUUAGAGGAAUUUGUGUAUUGAUUGAUAGUCCACAAUAGGAUAUACUUUAAUUAAUCUUUGUGUAUUGCUGUUUGGAGAGUUUAUUUAUAUAUUAUUCUUAUUAUAUUAAAAUUUAAUAUAAAUUCAAGUCAAAAUGCGGGAUAUUAAAGAUUAUAUGAAUUACAAUAAAUUUUAUUUUUGAAUAAUUUAUUUUAAUAUAAUUUUGAAAUUGGAUUUAAAAGUAAGUUUAUUAAAUUAUAUUUAUUGAAGAUAAUUUUGUUUAGUGUACAAAUUGCCCGUCAUUCUCAUUAUAAGUGAGGAAAGUCGUAACAUAGUAAAUGUACUGGAAAGUGUAUUUUUUGA
rnacentral:ncRNA from 1 species